rnacentral:piRNA from 1 species
UUCUGCCUUUGGCCACGAAUUAGGUGUUAUGU